UACAGAGACUGCAAGCGUUAUUCGGAUUCACUGGGCGUAAAGGGUGCGCAGGCGGCCAAGUGUGUUAGGUGUGAAAGCCCGGGGCUUAACCCCGGAAUUGCACCUAAAACUACAUGGCUAGAGCAUUGGAGAGGGGAGCAGAACUCACGGUGUAGCAGUGAAAUGCGUAGAUAUCGUGAGGAAUACCAGAGGCGAAGGCGGCUCCCUGGACAAUUGCUGACGCUCAGGCACGAAAGCGUGGGGAGCAAAAGGG
rnacentral:rRNA from 1 species